UACGUAGGGUGCUAGCGUUGUCCGGAAUCAUUGGGCGUAAAGCGCGUGUAGGCGGUCCGGUAAGUCCGCUGUGAAAGUCGGGGGCUCAACCCUCGGAUGCCGGUGGAUACUGUCGGGCUUGAGUACGGAAGAGGCGAGUGGAAUUCCUGGUGUAGCGGUGAAAUGCGCAGAUAUCAGGAGGAACACCAAGUGCGAAGGCAGCUCGCUGGGAAGUUACUGACGCUGAGACGCGAAAGCGUGGGGAGCAAACAGG
rnacentral:rRNA from 1 species